rnacentral:rRNA from 1 species
GUAAUGCCGGAUGCUCCGACUCCUCGCAUGGGGUGUCGGGAAAGAUUUCAUCGGUAUGGGAUGGGGUCGCGUCCUAUCAGGUAGUCGGCGGGGUAACGGCCCACCGAGCCUACGACGGGUAGCCGGCCUGAGAGGGCGACCGGCCACAUUGGGACUGAGAUACGGCCCAGACUCCUACGGGAGGCAGCAGUGGGGAAUAUUGCACAAUGGGCGCAAGCCUGAUGCAGCGACGCCGCGUGCGGGAUGACGGCCUUCGGGUUGUAAACCGCUUUUGAUCGGGAGCAAGCCUUCGGGUGAGUGUACCUUUCGAAUAAGCACCGGCUAACUACGUGCCAGCAGCCGCGGUAAUACGUAGGGUGCAAGCGUUAUCCGGAAUUAUUGGGCGUAAAGGGCUCGUAGGCGGUUCGUCGCGUCCGGUGUGAAAGUCCAUCGCUUAACGGUGGAUCUGCGCCGGGUACGGGCGGGCUGGAGUGCGGUAGGGGAGACUGGAAUUCCCGGUGUAACGGUGGAAUGUGUAGAUAUC